rnacentral:rRNA from 1 species
CAGCAGCCGCGGGAAUACGUAGGGGGCGAGCGUUGUCCGAAGUUACUGGGCGUAAAGAGCGCGUAGGCGGGUUCUUAAGUGAGGGGUGAAAGUCCGAGGCUCAACCUCGGAACUGCCUUUCAUACUGGGAACCUUGAGUGCGGGAGAGGCGAGUGGAAUGGUCGGUGUAGCGGUGAAAUGCGUAGAUAUCGAUCGGAACACCCAUGGCGAAGGCAGCUCGCUGGCCUGUAACUGACGCUGAGGCGCGAAAGCGUGGGGAGCAAACAGGAUUAGAUACCCCAGUAGUCCCUGUCUCUUAACA